CUAAGAGAGACAAAAAGAGAAGGUCAAGAAAAGGAAAUAAAUUAAAAGCAAUACUUAAUUAGCCGCAAUGGCAGAAUCUUUCCCAAUGAAGGGUGGUGAAGGUGCCUACAGCUACACCAAAAAACCCUAUUGCAGAGACAUGUCAAAGUUGGGAUUAAUACCUCAUUGGAGUUGGCGUGCUUGAGUCUCACGCGUCGGCAAAAGUUUUCCAGCAAGUUUUUGUCCGGCAGAGCGUGGAGGCGCAUGAUACUUCGGUUUUGUGUCUGGUUUUUGUCCCGAUGUUGCCUCUUUAUUUCAGGUCACGCUGUAGUGGUUCGUUGACCAACAAACCACAGUUGUCCAUGUUUGCUCAAAGCAGAAACUGUCCACGUUAUCUCAAUCGGUCAGAUCUGAAACUUUUUCUUUAUCAUCAUAUUUGGAUGGUUUUGUGUCUGAAUCAUAAUAAGUUUUUGGGACGUUAUUGUUCGUCUUGGUUUGCUAGCUUCAAUUGAUUUUGGCAAUUGGCAGUGCUUGAAUUUGGUGGCCUCUUUGUGUUCAUUUGGUACUAUCUAAUUUGUCAAUGAAGAGUUUCUUUAGCUCAUCACUUUGGUUUAUUUGGUCUAGCUGUUGCCUGAUUUCCUUUCUUGUUGGUCAAUUUAGAUUAUCAGUUUGGUAGAGAAGCUUUCAGUUUUGUCUACUUUAAUUUUGAUAUUGAUUUUCUCUAAAAGUUGGUUGAGACUUUAACUUGGCCUCUCUCUGGUUGGCUCUGUUUUGUGCCUGUUGAGGUGUUGAUUUUACUGCAAAGCUUUGUCGAUUUCUUUGAUCGUGAGUUUUAGUUGGAAAAAGAAUGGGUAUAAAAAGUAAGUAAGGAGGAAAUAAUGCUACAAUUCCUAAUCCAACAAUCUUAGUUUCGGAUAAGUUUUUAAAAUUCCUUCAAUAUCAUAAAUCAAUUAAGGAUUCUUCUUUAGUUACUGCUUUUGCUGGGUCAGAUAAAAUAUGUCUUAUCACCUCUUCAAAUAAAUGGGUGGUUGAUUCAGGUGCCAAAAAUCACAUGACAGGUAAUCCAAAUAUUUUUUCUAGCUUUCGGUCACACAAAGCUCCCUCUCCGAUUACUGUAGGUGAUGGAUCAACUUGUAGUAGGGUUGGAUCUGAGAUUGUUAAACCAACUUAUUAUUUUACUCUAUCAUCUGUGUUAAGUCUACCAAAUUUGGCCUUUAAUUUGAUUUCUGUUAGUAAAAUUACCAGAGGCCUUAAUUGUUGUAUCCCGUUCUUUCCCGGUCAUUGUUUGUUUCUACAUCUUACAACGAAGCAGGUUAUUGGUAAAGGAUAUUUAUCUGGUGAUAUCUAUCUACAUCCUUGGAGAAUGGGAGCCACAGUCUAUUGCAUGCUCUAGUGUCGUGUCUCCUUUUGAUGCACACUAUCGAUUGGGUCAUCCCUCUCUACCUUUGUUGAAGAAACUCUGUCCUCAAUUUCAGAUUAUUUCUUCAUUGGACUGUGAGUGUCGAUUCGCAAAAUACCACCGCAGCUCAAUACGUCCAAGGUUAAUAAGCGGGUUGAGUCAGCUUUUGAGUUAGUUCAUUCUGAUAUUUGGAGACCAUGCCCUGUUGUUUCCAAACCUGGGCAUAAGUAUUUUGUUACUUUUGUAGAUGAUUUUUCCCGAAUGACUUGGAUUUAUUUUAUGAAGAGUCGCUUUGAAGUAUUUACUUAUUUUUGUGCCUUUUGUGCUGAAAUCAAAACGUAAUUCAACACUUCAGUGUGUAUUCUAAGGAGUGAUAAAGCUAAAGAACAUAUGUCAGAAUUAUUUCAGUCUUACAUGAGACAACAUGGUAUUCACAAUCAAUAUUCAUGUGUUGAUACACCUUCCUAAAAUGGAGUAGCUGAGAGGAAGAAUAGGCAGCUACUUGAGAUAGCUCGAGCACUUUUGUUCCAAAUAAAGGUUCCUAAAUAGUUUUGGGGUGAUACGAUUUCAAUAGUUUAUUUUCUGAUUAAUCGCAUGCCAUCUACUGUGCUCAUUGGUGAUGUGCCUUAUAGUGUUCUUUUUCCAAACAAGUCACUAUUUCCGUUGGAACCUAAAGUAUUUGGAAACACAUGUUAUGUUCACGAUGUUCGGCCAUCUGUUACUAAGUUGGAUCCCAAGGCAUUAAAGUGUAUUUUUUUGGGCUAUUCUUGUCUUCAGAAGGGGUAUCGGUGUUAUUUUACUAAACUUGGCAAAUAUCUAGUGUCAACUGAUGUGGUAUUUUCAUAGGCUACACCAUUCUUUAAUGCACCUCUUAUUUCUAUGAGUCAGGGGGAGAUUGAUGAGUGGUUAGUCUAUCAGGUUACCCGUGCCUUGACAGAACAAUCAAAUGAUGUUGUUCCUCCAUCUCCCAGUUAUUUUAUUAAGCAACAAUCGACUAUUGUGCCCUCUGAACCUUCUCCAUCGACGCUAUAAAGACCGCCAAUUGUUCAAGAUUACUCAAGGAGAAAAGAGAUCAAUGACACAUGUCGUGCACCAGUUUCUUCGUCAUCAGAUCCUCCGCUAUCUGAUCCUUCUGAAAUUUAAUUGUUCUUAUUUUGCCAGUUAUUCCUAGUGAAAUACAUCACUCACAACUCGGUGAUAGAAUGCUCACAUUUCUUGAGUCUAGUCUUAUUGAUAUGGUCAAUCAGGUGAGUCGAUCAUAACAUAUACUCACUCUGACAACGCACUUUUCUUUGUAUUCGUUAUUCCCUUCAAAAAAGAAUGAUAUAUUUUUAUAUUUAAAAAUAAUUUCACUUUUGUACUUCUUAUUUUAUUCUUUAUGACAUAAUUUAUAGCUACACGCAUGUUUAUGGCAUAUUUUAGAUAACAAGUUUCAAUAAUAUUUUUCUCUUUCUUAAACUGCAUGCUCAAGUCAAACACUAUCACAUAAAAUGCGAAGGAAGGAGUAUAUGCUAAAUUUCUUGGUUCUUGGCCAAUCUAGUACUACUCCUUCCGUGAUCAUUUUAUACUGUGAAACUUUUUUUUUAGUAUGUUUCAAAAAGUAUACAUUGAUACCUUUCUAUAUUGAACUGUGCUUUCUUUCUUUUCCAUACAGGGAAUUGUAGAUGAAUCUCUAGUUGACUCAUUUAAUUUGCCACUAUAUUUUCCAUCUGCUGAAGACAUGAUUAAAGUGGUGAAAAAAAUAAUUUUUUUAGCGUAGAGAGAAUAGAGCUAACAUAUCCCCAGUCCAAGAUUGAUGCAACGAGUUUCGUAACUCACUUGAGGGCUGGUUUAGAAGGAAUAUUCACCAAACAUUUUGGAAAUAAAAUAAGAUAUGAAAUGUUCGUGAGGACUUUAGGAAAAUGCGAAGAGAUUUCUGCAUGGUUGAAAGCUGAAUAUUACAAGACUGCGAGGCAGUUGUUUGUGAUUUUGAAACGUAAAAUAAACUUGUAAAGGAAUCAUCUUUAUUUUGUCCGUGUGACAUCAAUGAUGAUUACCAAGUUUAGAAAUUACUUUGAAUCACUAGGUGGUUUGCCUUUCUAGUAUAGAUGUAAAAUUUCAAAGCAUAUACGUGUUAAAGUUUGCCUUGAUUUUCUUUUCA